rnacentral:rRNA from 1 species
GAUGAACGCUGGCGGCGUGCCUAAUACAUGCAAGUCGAGCGAACGGACGAGGAGCUUUCUUCUCUGAUGUUAGCGGCGGACGGGUGAUUAACACGUGGAUAACCUACCUAUAAGACUCGGAUAACUUCGGGAAACCGGAGCUAAUACCGGAUAAUAUUUUGAACAGCAUUGUUCCAGAGUGAAAGACGGUCUUGCUGUCACUUAUAGCUUGAACCGCGCUGCAUUAGCUAGUUGGUAAGGUAACGGAUUACCAAGGCAACGAUGUAUAGCCGACCUGAGAGGGUGAUCGGCCACACGGCAGAGGAGACACGGACCAGAACCCGACGGGAGGCAGCAGUAGGGAACCUUCCGCAAGGGGCGAAAGCGUGACGGAGCAACGCGGCGUGAGUGAUGACGGUCUACGGAUCGUAAAACUUUGUGAUUAGGGAAGAACAUAUGUGUAAGUAACUGUGCACAUCUUGACGGUACCGAAGCAGAAAGUCACGGCUAACUACGU